GGUCAAAGUAAUAAGAGUCUAUGGUGAAUGCCUAGGA
rnacentral:rRNA from 1 species